rnacentral:rRNA from 1 species
UACGUAGGGUGCAAGCGUUAAUCGGAAUUACUGGGCGUAAAGCGUGCGCAGGCGGUUCGGAAAGAAGGAUGUGAAAUCCCAGGGCUCAACCUUGGAACUGCACUCUUAACUACCGGACUAGAGUAUGUCAGAGGGGGGUAGAAUUCCGCGUGUAGCAGUGAAAUGCGUAGAUAUGCGGAGGAAUACCGAUGGCGAAGGCAGCCCCCUGGGAUAAUACUGACGCUCAUGCACGAAAGCGUGGGUAGCAAACAGGAUUAGAUACCCG